UUCUCAGUCCACAAACAGUGCUGUUCGU
rnacentral:sRNA from 1 species